UACGUAGGUGGCAAGCGUUGUCCGGAUUUACUGGGCGUAAAGGAUGCGUAGGCGGAUACUUAAGUCAGAUGUGAAAUUCCCGGGCUUAACUUGGGAACUGCAUUUGAAACUGGGUAUCUAGAGUGUGGGAGAGGAAAGUGGAAUUCCUAGUGUAGCGGUGAAAUGCGUAGAGAUUAGGAAGAACACCAGUGGCGAAGGCGACUUUCUGGACCAUAACUGACGCUGAGGCAUGAAAGCGUGGGGAGCAGACAGG
rnacentral:rRNA from 1 species